rnacentral:sRNA from 1 species
UAAUGUCAAAGAAAUGAAGGUAAUUUUACAAACUCAAUUUUUGUAAGUACAUGAAGUUUCUAUUUGAUUAUGUGGUUUUAUAUCACAUUCGUUCAAAUGCAUUUCUCUCCCUUAGAGGGACUAUUCCAACAUCACUCCUUUGGAAUUAUUUCAGUCAUCCCUAACAUGUGACUUUACCAAAGACCUUGAAGCUAAACAAACAAGCAAAACAAAAUUUCAAUGACUCUUAGAUGAAUGGAAUAAGAAAGUCAUCACAUGUCAAUUAGGGAUGUUCAUGUCCAAAAAGACACUGUCAAAAUGUUUCGUCUGAUACAGCAGUUAUAAGUCAGAGCCUUCAAAAAACAAGGGCAGAACAAGAGUACAAUAAAAGAAGCAUCUGCAACUUAAGCUUCCCACAGUCCUAAGCCUGAUAUGCGCAAAGCAAAGCCUCUUUCCCGCAAACUAAAUUCCAUCCAUUUGAGCUUUCAGAGAUCGAUGCCCAAGAACUAUCAUUAAUAUAUACAGCAUAUUGACUCUAGUUGCAUCAAUUAUGCCUGAAGAGUUUAAUACCCAUCCAAGUCCAAAGGUGGAAGAAUACAUACACUGGUAUGGUAACAGGCAAGAGCAGGCUGUAAAAGCAAAGGCUGGCUGUGCUAGUGCAGCCCUGUGGGAAGUUUUCUUCCACAGAGGCUGAGUAGAACAGUCCUGCUAAAGAAACCAGUGGAAUAAGAACAGUCAACGUAGGAAGAGACAGAAACAUUCUUCUCUUCCACUUAUUACCUGCCACUGUGUUUUAAAAGGUAUAUGGUACUAAGAAAAGUUGGCUGUUGCGUUUUUUUUAAUUUUUUUAAAUUAUGAACUAGCGCUGCUCCACUUCUUGCUUCUUACUUUGACGUGUCAUCCUAGCUGCCUGUGGUAUCAUAUUAGGAAUCCCAUCAAUGAUUGGAUAAGCUAUUCCCAACUCUUCAUUAAUCAAUUCAUUUGUUGAUGCUUCAUAUCUGAGCGGCUUCUUGGAGAGCGGGCACACCAGGAACUCCAGCAGCGCCGGAUCGAAGGCGCGGGGCAGCUCCUCAGUCUUCUUGCCCCGGUCGGCCAAAGGCCGCGACCCCGACGCGUGCAGGCACCUACGGGCGACCGCGGACGGCGGCGCGCGCGUUCCCCGCAGCGCUGAGGCGAGCCUCCAGCGUGCUCCACUCAGCAUGGUCUGGCAGCCGGAGACCAGGCCUCACUGCGCCCUUGCCACCCGUGGCCGAGCUCCUGGCUCCCCGUUCGUCCAGGCCAGCCGGCCAGGCCCCGCCCCCUGGUGCUCUGGGA